CGGGGGGUGGCGGGCCCGCGGCGUUGGGGGGCGGCUGCGCAAGCCGCACCCCCAUUUCCACUCCGGGGUGGCGGGGCGCGCGCGCGGUCACCCCCGGGGCAGUCGCUUGCUCGCGCUGGCUGCGUCUGCGGAAGUUGCGGUGGGGCGUCUGCACGCCCGGGGGCACUUCACCUGACUGGGGGCCCCGCGAGCCCCCUCCCGUUGAGAAGCAAUUCAGAAAACUUCCAGCCUAAGAGUAAACUUGCUGCCGAGGGCGACGCCCUACGUCCUGAGUCCUGGCGGAGGGGCCACGGGGCUCUGUGCGACGGGUGACAAAAACAUGCCUGCCGACACCAGCCGUUCUUGGAAAUGUGUCCUGGCUGUUUACAAAAUAGCUUUAUUGAGACAUAAUUUCCGCACCGUAAAAUUCACCCGUUUUACGUGUACACUUCACAGGUAUUUAUUGUGUUUGCGGUGCAGGCAUCACAAUCUAAUUUUGGAGCAUUUCCACCGUUCCGAAAGGAAACCUCGUGCCCAGUAGCGAUCCCUCCCCGCAGCCACUGAUUUACUUUCUGUCUCUACAAGUUUGUUCUGGACGCUUCCUGGAAAUGGAACAAUGCAGUACUCCGCCUUUUGCCUCCGGCUUUUCCCCCUCCUACCAUCAUGUUUUUGAUAUUCGUCCAGGUAGUGGCAUUUAUCAAUGCUUCUGUCCUUUUAUGUUGCCAGAUAAUACUCCAUUGUGUGCGUAUACAGUGGUUUGACUUAACCAGUCCAUCCAUUCAUCGUUGUUUGCAGUUUGGGGUUUGGUGAACAGGACUGCCACGUACAAGUCUUUGCGCGCAGGAUGUCGGAGAAGAGAGACGGAGGUGUGCGUCGGCAACCUUCCCCUGAAACCUUGAGGUGUUCUUCUGUCCACCGCUGCUCGUCCUUGGCCCCCCUUUAUGACUUAGCAGCCUGCGGUCACCUGAUGUCACCAGGACCGAAAGACACUUCAGAAACGUGGACGUGCCGGUGAGGAGGCUCAUCGGCUCCCCCCGUCUGCCUUGGACGUGGCCAGUUUGGGCCCAGAAAGUUCUGUGCCUCGCACGCUUCCCCUUCCCGCCCCACGUGACCCUGAGUGGGGGUCACCCUGCCUGCUGCUCUGGAUGGAGGGGGCUCGCCAGGGUGUAAGUGCCUGCCCCCCCGGUCCCAGGAAGGGGUGGGUUUCAGCCAAAAAGCUGCACCAUAUGAUUUUGAAACGAACCGGUUCGGUCAGUUGGCUGUGCACUUGGAGACUAGAACACGAACAGCGGAGUCUGACCCCAGGAAUCGUACUGUCUGGGGAGGCGGGCGACAGCCUGAAAUUCUCGGAGCGCCAUCCCUGCCUGAAAUGGUGCAUCGCAAGGACAGACGGUGGAAAACGAAGCGUAAUUUACUGACUUAAGCUGCCCCUGGCCUUUUGUGGGGUGUUUGUAUUUUGUACAUUCUGCAGAAUGACGAGCCUGAGACGCAGCACGCUUAAAGAUGGUGACCUAGCUCUCGCACUGCAGCUUAGUCCGGGACGACAGAGGAGAGCAGCUAACCUCCGGGGGCCCGCCGCAGGCCACGCGUCUCUCGGGGGUUUGCCGGCCUGUGCCCUCCUUGCCAAGCAGUGAACGUCACUGCCCGGUUCUGCCUGCCCGUCACUGCCAAGCUGCCUGCCCGGUUGUACUUGACUCCUUCUGCGCCACCCGCUCUGUUGUAAUUAUCAGGACCGCUCCAGGAAGUCGGCCGAAUGCUGCAACGGCGUGGUUCUGUCACGUUCUUAGAACAACCCUGGGCGGCGGGUGGCGACUCCCUCUUGGGGACGAAGAAGCUGGAGGUUGGAUCCCUCGGCCAACAAUUGAAUGCACGUCCCCCGUCGCCGCCAGGCACCAAACCACGUGACCGGUGAGCUAUGUUUUGGACAAAGCUUCUGCUCGAGGACUGGCCAGGACCUCCCGGGAGAUCCCAGCUGCCCUCUGUGCCCAGGAUAUGUCUUUGCAGCUCCCGACCUCCCCACCCCAGCAGCGCCCCCGGGUUGUGCCAGUGUAGGAGGAAUCCCUUCCUAUUCCCCGAGGGUGCUUUCUGGGUUGCGGAGACCCAUCCAGAGAGGGACGCACGCAGCUGAGGGUCCGGAGGCUGAGGUGUGGAAAGAGUACUUUCACCCCCCACGUCAUUCCGCCUCCGAGGGCAGGGCCGGCGUCUGAGGGGGGCAGGGGUGUGGUGGUCGAGCGAUGGUCCUGGGGCCUGCGGGACUCCACCGUCUGCUUUCCAGCUUGUACCCGGCUCACUCGUAAGGCUCCUCGUGACCCCUGUGCGACCGAGACCUGGGGGGCAGCCUUGUACGCGGCUCCCGUGGAGUUGAGGUACGCCGAGAUGCGGCGCCACCCCCAGGGAAAUGUGACUGCACGUCACUUGGCCCCUGGCAGGUGGGGCAGGGGUGGGGGCCGUUUUCAGGAACUCUGCCAGCAGAUCCGGGCUCUGAGGCCGUCCCCCGCUCUGUGCGGUGGUGGCCUGUGGCCGGCGUGGUAGGUGUGGGUCCCCGGGCGGGGACGCCAGAGUGUGACCGGAAACGCUGUGGGAUGAGUGGUUGGCGGGCUUUUCAAAGCUUGCUGAGCACGUGUGGCUGAGGCGGUGGUUGGCGGAGUGGCGGGAGGUUUGGGGUGCGCCUGAACACGGGGGGCAGUGCCUGGGGGUGAGGACUGUGUCCUGGGUCACGGGGAGUCGCCGUGGCCUGGCGUGCCCCCAGCACGGCGCUGUCUUGCUCGGCGUCGGGCACUUGUCUGUCUUGCGGCGGGGGAGGGGGGCUCCUGCUGGCGGAGACCCCACCCUCCCGCCCUUUGCUCCGGCUCUUGACCCAGAGGCUCCUUCCUUCCACGCCCUGCUGCCGAGGGGAUGCUUCUGGGACCGGGGCUGGCCGGCCGCCAUCACCACGUCGGAGGGGAGGGGAGGUGGGGCUGCUGGUGACCCGUAUCGUCCCUCGGACCCCCUUCGGCUGGGCUUGCUGGCCGCCCCCUCGGGCUGCGGGGCCUUGCCGGGGAGGGCGUGCUGCCGGUUCUCCCUGCUCGCCCUCAGUCGCGCAGGGCAGACGAGCCGUGCUGGCGGAGGGGUGGCGUCCACACACGCGUGUGUCCCUCGUGCGGCCUGCGGGUCCGGCGCCUGAACACGCAGACGCUGUUCCACGUGCUGGCCCUGCCUGCCUGACUCCACCGUGCGGCCCAGUGCCACCUCGGGGGCUUGGGGCGGCCUGGGACAGGUGUGAGCCAGGCAGGGUCGGGCGAGCGCCCUGGGGCUGCUUCCUCCUCCCUGGACUCUGGCUUCUCCACUGCCGCGUCCUCUCGAGGUCCCUCUGCUGACACACUUCGCGGCUGGGGAAGGUGCUCCUGGCCCCGACCUCCAGCCGCCCCGUCGAGGGCCGCCAUGGUGGCUGAACACUGUCCCCUCGCCCGUCCCUCCCUCGGCCAGGUGCUGGGUGCUGGACGGGGCGGGCGCCUGGGCUGUGGUCAUGUUCGUCGACCUCGGCCGGUCGGCCACCCUCCCCGUGCAGUCCCUGUGCGGCCUGGACAGUGACAACUUCAGGGCCAUCCCCCCUCUGACUCAGCCAUUCAUGCUGGACAAAGGUGAGCCGCCCUCCACCCUCCUGAGAUGCAAGGGGCCUCAGCAGGACGGCCGGGGAGGGGGCGGCUGGAGGGCGGCCAGGGGGCA